rnacentral:ncRNA from 1 species
AUCAUGGUGAUGGAGUUCACCAAAACCGCUUAAAGCUAAUGACUCCUACA